GGGGUGGUGGCGUAGUUGGCUAGCGCGUAGGUCUCAUAAUCCUGAGGUCGAGAGUUCGAGCCUCUCUCACCCCA